rnacentral:rRNA from 1 species
AGGUUGACCUCGGAUCAGGUAGGAAUACCCGCUG